AGACGAACCGGACAAACGUUAUUCGGAAUUACUGGGCUUAAAGAGUGCGUAGGCGGCUUUGUAGGUUGGGUGUGAAAUCCCACAGCUCAACUGUGGAACUGCGCUCAAAACCACAAAGCUUGAGGGAGGUAGAGGUAAGCGGAACUGAUGGUGGAGCGGUGAAAUGCGUUGAUAUCAUCAGGAACACCAGUGGCGAAAGCGGCUUACUGGGUCUCUUCUGACGCUGAGGCACGAAAGCUAGGGUAGCGAACGGGAUUAGAAACCCCAGUAGUCC
rnacentral:rRNA from 1 species